rnacentral:rRNA from 1 species
GUUGUAUAGUCAAGUAAUUAAGUGCAUGUGGUGGAUGCCUUGGCAGUCAGAGGCGAUGAAAGACGUGAUAGCCUGCGAAAAGCUCCGGGGAGGCGGCAAAUAUCCUUUGAUCCGGAGAUGUCUGAAUGGGGGAACCCACCUACUUUAAGGUAGGUAUUGCAACAUGAAUACAUAGUGUUGCAAGGCGAACGAGGGGAAGUGAAACAUCUCAGUACCCUUAGGAAAAGAAAUCAAUUGAGAUUCCCUCAGUAGCGGCGAGCGAACGGGGAUCAGCCCAUUAAGUUAUGUGUGUUUUAGUGGAACGCUCUGGGAAGUGCGAACGUAGAGGGUGAUAUUCCCGUACACGAAAGGGCACACAUAAUGAUGACGAGUAGGGCGAGGCACGUGAAACCUUGUCUGAAUAUGGGGGGACCAUCCUCCAAGGCUAAAUACUCCUGACUGACCGAUAGUGAACCAGUACCGUGAGGGAAAGGCGAAAAGAACCCCUGUGAGGGGAGUGAAAUAGAUCCUGAAACCGCAUGCAUACAAGCAGUGGGAGCACCUUCGUGGUGUGACUGCGUACCUUUUGUAUAAUGGGUCAGCGACUUAUAUUCAGUAGCGAGGUUAACCGUAUAGGGGAGCCGUAGAGAAAUCGAGUCUUAAUAGGGCGUUUAGUUGCUGGGUAUAGACCCGAAACCAGGCGAUCUAUCCAUGAGCAGGUUGAAGGUUGGGUAACACUAACUGGAGGACCGAACCCACUGUCGUUGAAAAGCCAGGGGAUGACUUGUGGAUAGGGGUGAAAGGCUAAUCAAGCCUGGUGAUAGCUGGUUCUCCCCGAAAGCUAUUUAGGUAGCGCCUCGGACGAAUACCAUAGGGGGUAGAGCACUGUUUCGGCUAGGGGGUCAUCCCGACUUACCAAACCGAUGCAAACUCCGAAUACCUAUGAGUACUAUCCGGGAGACAGACUGCGGGUGCUAACGUCCGUAGUCAAGAGGAAAACAAUCCAGACCGCCAGCUAAGGCCCCAAAAUCAUAGUUAAGUGGGAAACGAUGUGGGAAGGCAUAGACAGCUAGGAGGUUGGCUUAGAAGCAGCCACCCUUUAAAGAAAGCGUAAUAGCUCACUAGUCGAGUCGGCCUGCGCGGAAGAUGUAACGGGGCUAAAACUAUGUGCCGAAGCUGCGGAUGUAUACUUUGUAUACGUGGUAGGGGAGCGUUCUGUAAGCCGAUGAAGGUGUGUUGAGAAGCAUGCUGGAGGUAUCAGAAGUGCGAAUGCUGACGUGAGUAACGACAAAACGGGUGAAAAACCCGUUCGCCGAAAGACCAAGGGUUCCAGUCCAACGUUAAUCGGGGCUGGGUGAGUCGACCCCUAAGGCGAGGCCGAAAGGCGUAGUCGAUGGGAAAAUGGUUAAUAUUCCAUUACUUCUGUGUAAUGCGAUGAGAGGACGGAGAAGGCUAAAUCAGCCUGGCGUUGGUUGUCCAGGUGAAAGGAUGUAGGCAUGUAUCUUAGGCAGAUCCGGGGUACUCUAUGCUGAGAUCUGAUAGCAAGCUGUACUUGUACAGCGAAGUGGUUGAUGCCAUGCUUCCAGGAAAAGUCUCUAAGCUUCAGUUACACAGGAAUCGUACCCGAAACCGACACAGGUGGUCAGGUCGAGUAGACCAAGGCGCUUGAGAGAACUCUGCUGAAGGAACUAGGCAAAAUGGUACCGUAACUUCGGGAGAAGGUACGCUGUUGUUGGUGAUGGAACUCGCUUCCUGAGCUGACGACAGCCGCAGAAACCAGGCCGCUGCAACUGUUUAUUAAAAACAUAGCACUCUGCAAACACGAAAGUGGACGUAUAGGGUGUGAUGCCUGCCCGGUGCUGGAAGGUUAAUUGAUGGGGUUAGCGUAAGCGAAGCUCUUGAUCGAAGCCCCAGUAAACGGCGGCCGUAACUAUAACGGUCCUAAGGUAGCGAAAUUCCUUGUCGGGUAAGUUCCGACCUGCACGAAUGGCAUAAUGAUGGCGGCGCUGUCUCCAGCAGAGGCUCAGUGAAAUCGAAAUCGCUGUGAAGAUGCAGUGUACCCGCGGCUAGACGGAAAGACCCCGUGAACCUUUACUGCAGCUUGACACUGAACUUUGACCUUACUUGUGUAGGAUAGGUGGGAGGCUUUGAAGCUGGAACGCUAGUUCCAGUGGAGCCGUCCUUGAAAUACCACCCUGGUAAUGUUGAGGUUCUAACUCUGUCCCGUGAUCCGGGACGAGGACCGUGUCUGGUGGGUAGUUUGACUGGGGCGGUCUCCUCCUAAAGAGUAACGGAGGAGUACGAAGGUGCGCUCAGCGUGGUCGGAAAUCACGCGUAGAGUAUAAAGGCAAAAGCGCGCUUAACUGCGAGACCCACAAGUCGAGCAGGUACGAAAGUAGGUCUUAGUGAUCCGGUGGUUCUGUAUGGAAGGGCCAUCGCUCAACGGAUAAAAGGUACUCUGGGGAUAACAGGCUGAUACCGCCCAAGAGUUCAUAUCGACGGCGGUGUUUGGCACCUCGAUGUCGGCUCAUCUCAUCCUGGGGCUGAAGCAGGUCCCAAGGGUAUGGCUGUUCGCCAUUUAAAGAGGUACGCGAGCUGGGUUUAGAACGUCGUGAGACAGUUCGGUCCCUAUCUACCGUGGGCGCUGGAAAUUUGAGAGGAUCUGCUCCUAGUACGAGAGGACCAGAGUGGACGAACCUCUGGUGUACCGGUUGUGACGCCAGUCGCAUCGCCGGGUAGCUAUGUUCGGAAGGGAUAACCGCUGAAAGCAUCUAAGCGGGAAGCCUACCUCAAGAUAAGAUUUCCCUAGGACUUUAUGUCCUCUAAAGAGCCGUUCGAGACUAGGACGUUGAUAGGUUGGAUGUGGAAGCAUAGUGAUAUGUGAAGCUGACCAAUACUAAUUGCUCGUGAGGCUUGACUAUACAACACCCAAGCAGUUG